rnacentral:tRNA from 1 species
GCAGUCGUAGUUCAACGGAUAGAAUAUUUGGCUUCGAACCAAAGGGUUGCAGGUUCGAGUCCUGCCGACUGCACCA